rnacentral:rRNA from 1 species
UGUAUCCAGCCAUCCCGCGUGUAGUGAUGACGGCCCUAUGGGUUGUAAACUACUUUUAUCUGGGGAUAAACCUACUUACGUGUAAGUAGCUGAAGGUACCAGAUGAAUAAACACCGGCUAACUCCGUGCCAGCAGCCGCGGUAAUACGGAGGGUGCGAGCGUUAUCCGGAUUUAUUGGGUUUAAAGGGUCCGUAGGCGGGCUUAUAAGUCAGUGGUGAAAUCCGACAGCUUAACUGUCGAACUGCCAUUGAUACUGUGAGCCUUGAGUAAGGUUGAAGUGGCUGGAAUAAGUAGUGUAGCGGUGAAAUGCAUAGAUAUUACUUAGAACACCAAUUGCGAAGGCAGGUCACUAAGUCUUAACUGACGCUGAUGGACGAAAGCGUGGGGAGCGAACAGGAUUAGAUACCCUGGUAGUCCACGCCGUAAACGAUGAUUACUCGUUUUUGGGUUUUAGGAUUCAGAGACUAAGCGAAAGUGAUAAGUAAUCCACCUGGGGAGUACGUUCCGCAAAAUGAAAUUAAAAGGGGAUUUGAACGGGAUUGGGGG